rnacentral:rRNA from 1 species
UAGGGAAUCUUCCGCAAUGGACGCAAGUCUGACGGAGCAACGCCGCGUGAGUGAAGAAGGAUUUCGGUUCGUAAAACUCUGUUGUUAGAGAAGAACAGCGCAUAGAGUAACUGUUAUGCGUGUGACGGUAUCUAACCAGAAAGCCCCGGCUAACUACGUGCCAGCAGCCGCGGUAAUACGUAGGGGGCUAGCGUUGUCCGGAAUCACUGGGCGUAAAGGGUUCGCAGGCGGAAAUGCAAGUCAGGUGUAAAAGGCAGUAGCUUAACUACUGUAAGCAUUUGAAACUGCAUAUCUUGAGAAGAGUAGAGGUAAGUGGAAUUUUUAGUGUAACGGUGAAAUGCGUAGAUAUUAAAAAGAAUACCGGUGGCGAAAGCGACUGACUGGACUCAUUCUGACGCGGAGGAACGAAAGCGUGGGUAGCAAACAGG